CCACACGCACGAGAACGCACCGCGCCUCUAAACUCUAACGUCAGCAAAUGAACGUAGGGCGUUACUCCCACUUGAAACCCAAGCUUGGAUUGUGACACAAAAGAGACACAUUUAGGUCAGCAGCUGGAGCAGAGGUUGGCUGGAAGAGCUGAGCACUCGUCCACUCAAAGCCAAGGGAAAAUCACAACAAAUAAACAAGAAAGAUGUCUCGACUGAUUUCCCUUGUGGUGGGAAUCUACGUUGGUGUCAUUGCCGCCCAGAACUAUGAGGUUCCCCAUGCUCCAAGUCCCCUCGACUUGUGGCAGAAGGCAGAGGAUUACUCAAAAGGCAAAAAGGACUAGCCCCGAGCAUGCUGGAGCAUUGUCAACAGUCCAGAGUCCUCGUGGCUGGAAGAGAUCAAAUGCAACAUGACAACGAUAAAUUCUACAUCGGCCUCAGUCCUGUCUAACAAUGAGUUACAGUUGCUGAAUCUAUACUGUAAUUAGGUACACAGACUAGUCAUACUUUUCUCAAGAUAUUUCCCCAUAUGUAAAUAAAUAAAUUUGUCUGCAAGUAUCUGGCCUUAUACACAGAGUCUUUCUAUGUGAGGUAGGACACACGUCAUCAGCGAGCCGUUUUCAUGUUCUAAGCCCUACAAGCUGCACUUUUCAGAGAGAGGGAAAAACUGUUUCUUUCUUUUAGAAGUGUACCUGCAUUAUGUAGCUUUUUUGUUGUUGCUAUUUUUAACUUCAGACUUUACAUUUUUUCAAAUUAUUUCUCAAGUUCAUUCAACUGAUACUGGUACCACAGAUUAUGAAACUGCCUUUUUCUUUUUUUUUUUUUUUUUAAAUUGGGCUUGGUAGGCUACAUCUGAAGAGCUGGCUGACGAUUUAUUUAAAUACUGUGGGAAAGUGCAUUCAAAAUAACAUGCAAGUGACCUUCCAUCCCCAUUUUGUGUUCAGUCCUACAUGCAGCACCUCACGGUGACUCGCACCUUUAUGAAUAUGGUCCAAAUUUUAGGAGAAUGUACGAGCGCACACUCUUUACAAAGUCUGUCCUACUUUGCAGUACUCCUACAUCCUACCCGUCCGAAUAUGUUACUCUCUAAUUUCUCAUCUCCCUUGAUCUCACACUAUUUUUAUAUGUGUCUUUGCUAAUUUACGGACCUCAGAAUUAUCAUAUUUUUUUCUUCUUAAUCAUGGAAGACAAAUAAGUGAAAAGUGCCAAAGCUGUACUGUAAUUGAGUGAGUGAGAGUGGAAAGGAAGUAAGUGUGCAGCAGCAGUUUUGCUGGACUACGUAUCUGAACUGAAAGAGAUUACUUCUACCUCUAUGCAGUAUGUACAAUAGAUUUUCUUAUGAACCUUAGAAGUUUCUUCUUUAUAAUUGUACUUUCCUUGUCUCAGUGUGAGAAACAUUUUAUAAGUUUGCCUCCAAUGGCCUGCUGCAUGCACCAAGUUUAUUUACUGGUACUGGUAGUCGGGUGUGGCUGAGUGUCUGUGUACACAUACCAAAUACAUCACAGCCUUUUCAAAAUUGUAAACGCUUCCCACAAGACCAUGCAUGGCCAACUGUUGAAAAAAAUCAGCAGCAAUAAACUAGACGCAUGUAUUUGGAAUGUAAAA